AAAAGUUGUGAAAAUUGAAGAUUUAUGAGAGGAAACUAGUAUUUCACUUGAAAUAACCUUCCAGAAUGACGAUAUUUCACUUGAAGCAAGCUCAAAUACUGAAGUUCAAUAUUCACAAAUAUGGCCACACUAGUAUAGGCAAAACAUAUGUUGAACUAAUAUGAAGGUAACAUUUCAUGGCCAAACAAGUGCGGUCCCAUUUUUGAAAUGUUAUAGUAGCUUCUUAUAUUUUGUCCGUUUUCACUAGCCUUUCACUGUGCCUUGACAAAGCUUUAAUCAAAAAACGAAAAGGGUUUAGGUUCGCUACUUUAAUUGACAAAGCUUUAACUACUAAGAGGUUUUUGUUCACCAUAAACUGAUUAGCUAGCUUCUAUGCCUGAAUUAAGAGAUCAUUUUUUCUCUCUCUCUCUCUCACUCAUCUUCUCGGGAUUUUCUUCCACCAGGGGGUGGGGGUACGAAGGGGAGGAAAAGAAUUGAAGUAAUAACAAGUCAUAAACAUCAAACAAAAUUCUCCAAUUUUCGGAAUUUGAACAUAUUGCAAAUUGCAAUGCUUUCUUUUGAAGAAGUGUGCAAUAAAUUUUCUUGACUAAAAGCACUCCAACUACAGAUUAACAGUUGAAGGAACUAGAGUGAUAGAGGACCUACUCUUUGAGGUAAAUUACCAGGAACAUAAUAGGCCGCACAACUAAUGAUGUCAAGGUUGUUUAAAGUAGAAGGAAGAUGCUAUGAAGCCAUAAAUUGAAAGUUACCUAGUCGUAAGGUUCCAAAAACAUCAUUUUACAUUGCCUAUAGACACCUCAAAGUAUCUUAUAAACUAGAAUAAGAAGUCUAUGACGAUAGCAAGUAACUGGAAGGAGGAAUAUAAGAUAAAGGAGCAGGACUUUUGAAGUAUCACGCUAAAGCAUACAAUAGAGCAACAAGUAUAUUAGGGGAAAAGAGAAAAGGAAAUCAGCAGCAUACACUUUCAUCUCAAAAAUUAACUGUCAGGGCAAAAACAAACAUGGACAUAGACGGAAAAAUGAGAGGUGCGUGUAUCCCUUCAUUUAGAACAAUGGUUAUUGACUGCAGUUGAGGUUCCACAUAUUCAGUACAGAAGUCCUCUUACCUGAUGAUCAAAGAAAGACUCCAGUAGCUUGUACGUGGCAGAAGCUGUAAGGUUCCAAAAACAUCAUUUUACACAGCCUAUAGACACCUCAAAGUAUCUUAUAAACUAGAAUAAGAAGUCCAUGAUGAUAGCAAGUAAUUGGAAAAGG
rnacentral:lncRNA from 1 species